UACGUAGGGGGCAAGCGUUGUCCGGAAUCAUUGGGCGUAAAGCGCGCGUAGGCGGCCCGAUAAGUCCGCUGUAAAAGUCCAGGGCUCAACCCUGAAAAGCCGGUGGAUACUGUCGGGCUCGAGUCCGGAAGAGGCGAGUGGAAUUCCUGGUGUAGCGGUGAAAUGCGCAGAUAUCAGGAGGAACACCAAUUGCGAAGGCAGCUCGCUGGGACGUUACUGACGCUGAGACGCGAAAGCGUGGGGAGCAAACAGG
rnacentral:rRNA from 1 species